rnacentral:rRNA from 1 species
AGAUUGAACGCUAGCGGGAUGCUUUACACAUGCAAGUCGAACGGCAGCGCGGACUUCGGUCUGGCGGCGAGUGGCGAACGGGUGAGUAAUAUAUCGGAACGUGCCCAGUAGCGGGGGAUAACUACGCGAAAGCGUGGCUAAUACCGCAUACGCCCUACGGGGGAAAGGGGGGGAUUCUUCGGAACCUCUCACUAUUGGAGCGGCCGAUAUCAGAUUAGCUAGUUGGUGAGGUAAAGGCUCACCAAGGCGACGAUCUGUAGCUGGUUUGAGAGGGCGACCAGCCACACUGGGACUGAGACACGGCCCAGACUCCUACGGAGGCAGCAGUGGGAAUUUGGACAAUGGGGGAAACCUGAUCAGCAUCCCGCGUGUGCGAUGAAGGCCUGGUUGUAA